rnacentral:rRNA from 2 species
GACGAACCGUCCAAACGUUGUUCGGAAUCACUGGGCUUAAAGGGCGCGUAGGCGGGUUCCCAAGUCGGUGGUGAAAUCUUUCGGCUCAACCGGAAAACAGCCGCCGAUACUGGGGACCUCGAGGGAGGUAGGGGUCGAGGGAACUUCCGGUGGAGCGGUGAAAUGCGUAGAUAUCGGAAGGAACGCCGGUGGCGAAAGCGCUCGACUGGACCUCUUCUGACGCUGAGGCGCGAAAGCCAGGGGAGCAAACGGG